ensembl:lncRNA
UUGGCUGUAAUUGUCAGAAAAUACACAAUGAAAAUAUAUUAAAUGAAUCUAGGCACAGCUUUAUUGGACACAGGGCAUGACUGGAAGAGAGCAGAUGAGUAUAACGGCACAAAUAGCAUGAACAGUGGUAAGAUGAUAACUAUCCUUGUUUGAAUUGCAGGUGGUGAAGGGGAAUGGAGGAGCAUGCACUUCAGCAAGUGGACCAGCUGGUUAGUAAAGUAUAGGCAAAUAUCUUCAGGAACAGACAAGGAGAACCUGGAAUGUUCACAGGGAUUCGCAGAAAUCAGAUGGACGGAAACACGGUGCUGUGUUUUACAUACUGUAGAUCUUAUCCUCCAUCUGUCACAGGCACAAGCAGUUUUUUCUUCUCUGGCACUGGCUGUAGGACUGGGAAUGACACGAGAUGGAUGACAUCAUGUGAUACGUGAUAGUAAUUUAGGUUGCUGAUCCAACUCCUGCUCAUGACUUCUUAUGACUGUUAAAGCUACUGCUAUGCACAUAUUACUAGUAUUACAUACUACAUAUUACUAUUAUGUUUACAUACACACAAGUUUAGUACAAGAGUAAAUGUUACUUAUGUUGUAAAAAAUCAUUUAUUCACCCUCAUAUCAUUUAAAACCUGAUUACUUAGAAUAAGUAAAUGAUGACAGAAUUUUCAUUUUUGGGUGAGAUCUUUAGAAUUAUAUUUCUAUAUCUGACAUUUAACAGGUUGUAGUUGUCUGGAUCACUCCUGUUAUACUCUGAAAUGCUGUUUUGGAUUAUAUUUUGUAGAUUUUGUAGAUUUGUACAACGUCAAAGAAGAAUAUGUAAAAAAAAAAAUCUAUAUAUGACAGAGAAUUGAUAUAAUGUAGGAGGUAAACUGAACCUCUUUUUAUCUUCACUGCGAUAAUUUUAAUGAUUUUAAAUGUAGGCAAAUCGCAAACAUAUUAUUACCCAUAUACCUGUAUAUGUUUAACAUGCUUUAUGACAACAUUAAAACUGUUUUAAUGGCGAUAUAGCCUCACAUCAACUUUGAUAUGUAUAUGAUUGCGUUAAUUGUUUGACUGUCAUAAUACUACUACUAAAAAAAAGGAAUCCAUGGUGAGUAAAAAUUAAUAAAAUAUCUAAAAUUGUACACAAUUUAUUAGAUCCAGGAGUUGGCUCAAAUGACCCCUGACACAUCUUACAGCCACUCUCCCCUUUCACAACCAUAUUGUUGUUCCAGACCCCUCCCCCUCUUCUGUUCAAGAAAGUAUCACUUUCUUCCUCUUCUCAAAAAUGGACAUUUAGAUGCCACGUAAUUUUUUUUUUUUUUUAAAUAUCCACUUUUUUAAUGCAAACUGACUGAAAAUGCCAUUGUUGUUUCAAGUCUUUCCACACUAUAUCAGUGGCCACUUUAGCAGCAGUUGCAUUCCUUUCCUUAAUUAUAUACAUAAUGUAACAAUUAUGUGGUCUUGUGAAUGAUUAACACAAAAAUUAAUUAUGUUUGUUAAAAGAAUUAAACAUUUCACACACACACACACACACACACACACACACACACACAUACAUAUAUAUAUAAGAAUUACUCGUAGAAGAUCUAGACAGGUGGAGCUGGGGAAGGUGGAGGGUUUCUGAUUUUAUUACAGUAAACAAGACCAAAUUUUUAAAUGUUGAUUAGCAACAGAGACCAAUCAGCUUGUGUCUAGUAGUUAAUGAUGUUAGUUAGCAGACUGCAUUAAGGACCUAUCAGCCUGUGCCAUUUAGAGUUUCAUGACAGAACUAGAUAAAAUAUCUUUUAGCUGGUUGGUUCAGUUUAAGUUUACCUACAGUGGGGAAAAUAUUUAUUUGAUCCCCUGCUGAUUUUGUAAGUUUGCCCACUUACAAAGAAAUGAAGGAUCUGUAUUUUUUUAUGGUAGGUUUAUUUUAAUGGAUAGAGACAGAAUACUGACCAAAAAAAUCCAGAAAAAAAACAAAACAAAACACAUUAUAUAAAGGUUAGAGAUUGAUUUGCAUUUCAGUGAGUUAAAUAAGUAUUUGAUCCCCUACCAACCAACAAGAAUUCUGGCUUCCACAGAUUGAUUAUGUGGAACACAGAUUAGUCUGUCAUUGUAAGAAGUUACUCCUAAUGUCAUCUCGUUGGGUGUAUAAGACCUAAAUAAUUCAAACUAAAUGAUUCACACAAUCUGUAUCUUCCAUUCCAACCUCUCCCACCACCAUGGGCAAGACCAACGAGCUGUCAAAGGAUGUCAGAGACAAGAUUGUAGAUCUGCACAAGGCUUGAAAGGGUGACAAGACCAUCAGCAAGAAGCUUGGUGAGAAGGAGACAACUGUCGUUGGGAUUAUUCGGAAUUGGAAGAAAUACAAAAUAACCAUCAAUUGGCCUCGGUCUUGAGCUCCGGCAAGAUCUUGCCUCAUGGGGUAUGGAUGAUCAUGAGAAAGUGUGAGGGAUCAGCUCAGAACUACAUGGGAAGAGCUUGUUAAUGAUCUUAAGGCAGUUGGGACCACAGUCACCAAGCAAACCAUUGGUAACACACUACACCGCAAUGGACUGAAAUCCUGCAGCGCCCGCAAGGUGCCCCUGCUCAAGAAUACACAUGUACAGGCCCAUUUAAAGUUUGCCAGUGAACAUCUAAAUGAUUCAUAGACGGCUUGGGAGAAAGUGCUGUGGUCAGAUUAGACCAAAAUUUAGCUCUUUGGCAUUAACUUGACUUGCCGUGUUUGGAGGGAGAGAAAUGCUGACUAUGACGCCAAGAACACCAUCCCUACAGUCA